GAUGAACGCUGGCGGCGUGCCUAAUACAUGCAAGUCGAGCGAACAGACGAGGAGCUUGCUCCUCUGACGUUAGCGGCGUACUGGUUAGUAACACGUGGAUAACCUACCUAUAAGACUGGGAUAACUUCGGGAAACCGGAGCUAAUACCGGAUAAUAUAUUGAACCGCAUGGUUCAAUAGUGAAAGACGGUUUUGCUGUCACUUAUAGAUGGAUCCGCGCCGCAUUAGCUAGUUGGUAAGGUAACGGCUUACCAAGGCAACGAUGCGUAGCCGACCUGAGAGGGUGAUCGGCCACAUUGGAACUGAGACACGGUCCAGACGACUACGGGAGGUAGCAGUAGGGAAUAUUCCGCAAUGGGCGAAAGAAUGACGGAGCAACGACGCGUGAGGGAUGAAGGUCUUCGGAUCGUAAAACACUGUUAUUAGGGAAGAACAAAUGUGUAAGUAACUAUGCACGUCUUGACGGUACCUAAUCAGAAAGCCACGGCUAACUACGUG
rnacentral:rRNA from 1 species